AUUGGCAGCUCCCAGGAAAACUAGGGCCUUGGUCAUUCAAUACCCAUGGCCCGAGGAGCAGGUGAUGACUGUAAAAAUAACAGGCCGGCCCCAUAGCAAGAGCUUCAGGUAUGUGGUCUGCAGGACCCAGCGGGUUGGGGCUGGCCUCUGUUCCAGACCGGGGCUUGAGCUCAACAAGCUUCAGCAGCUUCUCUGGGAGCCCCUAGACUAGAUCUAGGCGGAGCAGGGUCAGGAGUCCUGACUCCAAAGCCCUCUAGCCACCUGAACUUGUGCUUCCAAGAGGGGGUACACUUCCCCCCCUCUAGAAUCACCGGUAAUGCGUAAUGUUGGCUGUUGAGGCUGCUGACCCUUCGGGCCGAAGGAGGGUGAGCACCCAUGGGAACGUCCCUGCUGACAAUUUCUGAGAAAUUUCCGCACUAGGCUUGAACCACCUAGGCACUUGCUGGGGGUCUCUAACCUCUCCCGCUUCUGCCUUCCUGGGGGUCCUUUUUCCCCUUUUUCUGGGAGACUUCAGAGAGUAGUUGCGAGGUCCUUUAAGCAGACAUUUCCUUUGGGGUACACAGGGGCAGUCAUGAAAGCAUGACCCUGUUCCCCAUCCUCUGGUUGGUUUACCACUUAACCAAACAGAGCCCCAGGCUCCACGUGGCCAUUGGGGGCUCCCUAAAGCUUCUCCAAGUUAGGCCAAUGUGGUCUCCACCUCAGAUCACUUCCUCCUUUUGGUCAGUGUUCCUCUCUGAAAUGGCUGACUCCUUCUGCCCAUUUUGAAAGCAGAAGACCCUCUCAGAUGCCGUGCGCUGAGCAUUCAGUUUCCAGAGGCGCUGUUGUCCUCGUGCUGUCACGGAGACCUGGGGCAGCAGGGUGGCCUCUAGAGCGGGGCCAACCAGUAUUUAUAAAAGCCUCCCUUUGCUGCCCAGGCUGGAGUGACCUCGGCCACUGUCCUUGUCUGAGCUGCAGCAUCCCUACCUGUGAAGUGGGAGAACCAUGUUGCCCUUGUCUGGGGGCUGCUGUGAAGAUGAACACGAUGUGUGUGUGUGUGUGUGUGUGUGUGUGUGUGGACAGGGUACCUCGCUGAGACUCUGAGAGACGGUAACAGUGAGCUCCCUCCCCCAGCCCUGCCCUCCUGGUUCCUAUCCCUCCAGCCUUGAUCUUGAGCAUUCUGGGAAGGAGAUGGUGCCAGUCUGCUGGCUCAGCCGGCUUGGCCACUGACCUUCAGAGCACCCAGGCUGUCAAGGCCGCCUGACUGCCUGCCUGCCGGCCGGUCGGGUGGCAGGGAGCGCCAGCCAGCUCCUUCUUCGCCUGACGCCACCCGCCCCAGCUCCCACUCUCCUCCUCUCCCCCUCUCUGCGCCUGUGUGUGAGCUAAUUAAUCUCAGCCCCUUUGGGAAAUUAGACCGCAGCCGCGUUCUCAGCCUCAUGGAGCCUGUGCUGCUACUGGGCCAAGACCUGCUGUGUUUGGGGUACCGAGGUGGGGGUUGGCGGCAGCUUAGGUGAACUUAUCAGGACACAGGUCUCUGAGAACCCUUCACUUUUGGGCUGAGGGACUCUGGCCUUAGUUCCUUCCCUAAGGACACCAGGCAAACUCCCUGUCCUAAUGAAACCAACCCCUGUGUCCUUUUCAACCUGGCUCCAUGUUGUCAUGGUCAUCCCUCAUCCAAUGUUCUUCCUCAACGUGGGGUCAUCCUCUUCCUUUACCAGCUAGGAGGCUGAUGGAGACAGAUGUAAUUAUGGAAUUUUGCUUGGGAAAUUAAUUUGAAAAAAGUUAAUUAAUUGGUGGUUCCGGAGGUGGCAGGCUCCACACCCGGCUGGCCUUGCUGACGUCAGUACUGACCCACUGGAGCCAUGCAGCUUGCUGGACAAGCUGGGAAAAGGGACCCCCAUGACCCCACUAGACAGCCCUGUGACAGGUGGAUGGACAGGAGCAAAGGGUGCUUGUGUCCUGGUCCACGGUGGGUACUAGGUCUACUGAGGAUGACUCCGUAUCCUAAGAACUGGCCCACUUGCCUGUGUGUUUGUGGCCCUUGUCGGCUUCUGUAGUACACGGAUCUCAGUGCCAUGAGUGUCCACUUCCUCCAAGAGGGACAUGACUGUAUCAUCAAACAACCCAGCAAGAUGUAGAGAAUAGCUUAGUCUUCCUCCCAAGGAAUGAAUGAAUGCCUCAGCAAGGGGGAUCCCCAAGCACCCACUGUCCUAAGUGAGGGUGAGCAGUUCAGCCUGUCACCCUGGUGCCAUUUUACUUGUCUCCUACCAUCCCAUCUACUAGCUGGAAUGAGACAGGAGGCCAGCAGCCUUAGGCAUGCCAUGAUCGUAGAAGUUUGCCUACACCUUCGGGUCUCCUGUGAGGCCAUUGCCCACAUGCUUCAGUUGGCCUAAGUUCUAGUUUCUGAGGAAGUGUGGGCACUCCUUGCCUUGAGAAUGAUCAGGGCUGGGGCAGAAAGUUUCUAGGCAUGAGAGAAGUUGAGGAUACUCCUUGCCUCACCCCAUUACUAGGGUAAGGGACAUGGGCUCCCUAGGCUGCUAAACCUAGGUACCCCAAGUCUUGGGCAAGUCCCUUGUUUCUUGCCCUGAGCCUCACUUCCUUCAUCUGGGAAGAGUAGGUAGUUACAUAUUCUGAAGGCUGUGGUAGGGUCUAGGCAGGUAUAAUCAGCCCGAAGUGUUUUCUCUGCCUCAUGGAGGCAGGCUAAGUGGGAGGUUGGGGAGUCCUCCAGGGCUCUGCUGCCCGGGCAGCAUUUUGGAGGAGAAUCUGGUAUACAUGGUGCAUGAGGAGAUGGUAUCUGUGAAGGAUCCAAGACCAAGCAACUAGCCUGCAGUCCUAAACCUUAGGGGCAGUUAGCCCAUUGUGUGCUGCUGCUUUUCUAGAAUUUCUCGGGGCCCACAGUGAAUUUAGUGUGGAGAGAUGGCUCAGUGGUUAGGAGCAUUCACUGAAUUUCAGAGGACCUGGGUUCGAUUCUCAGGGCCCCACAUCAGUUGGCUAACAACUACCGGUAACUCCAGUUCCAAAGCCUCUGGCCUCCAAGGGCACUGAUACGCACACACAUGGGCAUGAGUGCACAAGCGUGUGUACACAUGCACACACAAUCUUUAAAAACUUUAACAGCAGGGCAGUGCUAGCGCACACCUUUAAUCCCAGCACUUGAAAGGCAGAGGCAAGUGGAUCUGAGUGAGUUUGAGGCCAGCCUGGUCUACGAAGCAAGUUCCAGGACAGUCAGGACUGUUACACAGAGAAGAAAUCCUAUCUCCAGAAAAAAAAUAAAAUAAAUAAACAAAAAAAGCCAGGCAUGGUGCUUUAAUCCCAGCACUGGGGAGGCAGAGGCAGGUUGAUCUCUUGAGUUCGAGGCCAGCCUGGUCUGCAUAGUGAGUUCUAAGAUGUUAUGAGACCCUAUUUCAGAAGAAAGGGGGAAAUUUUUUUUUAACAGUUUAUUUAGUAGUAAUUUGAGUCUCAUGUCAGUCUGGUGUAAUUUGUAGUUCUAAGUUUCUUAGAGAUCUGAUCCCAGGCUUGGGUUGAAUGGGCCACACCCCCUCCCUGAGCAUCCUGUGGGCUAGCCAGAGGGGAAGAGGUCCCCACUUGCUCCAAGACCUGUUCCCACCCCACCAUGUUAGCUUAUAGAAUCUGUUCAGAAGUUCUCUGUAUAAACGGAAAUGUCUCCAUGUGUCCCUGAGACCAGGAGCUCCCAAAGGGUGUCCGUAACCUCUUUCGGUAUCCUAGGGCCCAGCACAGGGUGCCACUCCAUAGGGACUUUGGGCUUCUCUCUUCCCGUUUUACAGGUGUGCCAGGGCCCCCUGAGGACAAGGUCACUGAGCCCGGAGAGCUUGGGAGUGAGGGGUUCUGGCAGGAGGCAGAGAGGGGCUCAGAGGGGGCCGGUCUUCAUCUUGCUGGGCUUCAGUUUCUUCGAAAGCAGGGAUCUUUAGUACGCCACCCUCUGGUGCUGGGGCAGGGAGUGGUUAAAAGACCCUCUGCCUGUUCCCAGUUAAAGUGUUCUUAAGUGUUCAUGGCUAUUACCAUGGAUGCUGUUAGGUUGUUAUCUUGGCGUUAUUCAUGCUUCCUGGGCCCCGGCAGCUGCUGUGGCUCUGCCUGGCCUUAGCCUCGUCCACAGAAGAGACGUUGCAGCUCCUAAUUAGUGCUCCAAAGAGAGGGCCUGGGUACUUCAUUUUUGCUACAGGGUCCCACCCGUCAAACGCUUCCCCAGCCCGUCUCCCACUGUAUUGGAUUUCGGAGUUCUCUCCCGGCCUCAGGUAGAGGGACUGGCCUCAGGCGAAAGCCUCCCCAAAUUUCCCCUGCCACUCCCUCCGCCUCCCAGACCUCUGGGGCCAUGAAUCAUUUAUGAGGCAAAAAUGAAACCAAUUAAGGACAAACUUUGAAAGCCUCUAAUUGCCGCGCCUGGUGGCAUGGAGGAGUGAGGGGCGGCGGUUGUGCUCGCGGUGGAAUCUCCUUGGCCCCAGCCCUCCUUUCCAGGCGUCUCCGGGCGCCACCACCUCCUGGCCGCUCGCGGACGUGCCUGCGCUGCUCUGGGCAGCCGCCUGGCGCCCGCCCCGUCCUCCCAGGCCGACUAAUUAGGCCCGGCUCCCUCCUGCGCUGCCCGCUCCAGGCCCGAGGUGAUGGCGGCUCAGCCUGCCCUUCUGGGGCAUGUGCCCCAAAGCUGGCCGCCUUUCCCAGGCGGAAUGGCCGCCCGCCUGGCUUAAACCCAGACGAGCCCAGGGGUUGCCCUGUGUCCUGGAGCCUGAGGGUCCACACAGCCAACCAGAGGGGCUGGGCAGAAACGGAUGAAGGGCAAGCUGGGGACAGGGGAGUGGCCGGCUGUUGAGCUUCUGGGGUGUUGCGUGGGUGAGUAGGACCACCCAGUGCCUGUCAGCCUUGCCGCGACUGACAGCAGUGACCUUCUGCAGAAUCUUGGGUUUGGGGAUGCCAGCAGGUGGAGGUCAGAGUCUGGACCCCAGCAGGACCUGCCUCACUGCAGUGAACCAGAAGUACCAGCCUUAAGUCCUGCUCGCUGUGCUGGGGGCCAUGCAGGCCCUGGGCACUCAGGCACACUGUUUGCUGAAACAGAAUUUCCGUGCUUGUGUUUUUCCAUAAUUAUAUUAGCAGGUGGGAUUUUUCCUCGGGGAAGCACUUUGAGGGGGAGCGCUGUGGCUGUGUCCCCGCCUGCUCCAAGCGUGAGCUCACACUCAGCUCUGCCCGCCUGCCUGCCGUAAUGAUUUUUUAAUUAUGCAGCCAGUGCUCGGAAUUGCUAAUCCACCUCUAGCCCAGCGUCCCCUGCUGCAGCUUACACCCCAGCCCCUUGCUGCCAACCCCCGAGGGGCAGUACCCAACUCUAUACCCAUUGCCGCCUGCCGAGGGACACAACCGGUCCAGUGGGGGAGAGUGGGCCAGAGAGCCGCGGGGGUGCCUUUCCUCCGUUUGCAAGAGCCGGGCUUGGGGAUGCAGCUCUCUUUGUCUCCCACCCCAGCCCUAGUCCCAACCUCGCGUGCGCUGGCCAGGGCAGCUGUGUCUCUGGAAGAGGCUAGGGGAGUGAUCAGGGCCCAUCCCCAAGAAUGUGCCCACAUCAACGGCAGGGACGCUAGCCCAUCCUGCCUGUCGUGUGUGACCCCAAGGGACAUAAGCACACAAGCACUACCUUUGUCCCUGUCACACCUACACGCAUACUCUGCUCCACUUCCACGCACACUCAGACACACAGCUAAGCCGCCGCACAAUGGCGAGCUCCAUGCCGCGCACACUGAGCCACACCUGGGGGCUGGGGUACCCUCAGGAGACCCCGUGGCUGGAUUUUCCCCCCCACACCCCCAGUCACCUCCAGACCCAAAGCUCUCUCCCUUCCUUUCCCUAGUGGGUGGCUGCCUGUGGCUGGCCUGUAAGAGCCGCAAUCGACCCUGGCCUGGGGGAGUUGGGGGGCAGGCUGCAGCGCGGUGGCAGCGGGUGGCUGCGGCUCCUCUCCAGGCGCCCAGCUGUGGCAUCUGUCAAGGUCAGAUAGCGACUCCGGAACCAGCCAGCUUGGCCCCAUGGCCCCUCUCGCCUCAUUAUUUUUUGUGUUCCGGGGUUGCGGCGACACCUCCCUCCUUCCCUCCCUCCGCUUCAGUCUCCUGCCUCUUGCCUGCCUCCCCCACGCCUCUGCAGGGAGGGCCUGCCUGCGGUCUGGGGGCUCUUGUUUUCCAGUUUUUUUGCCAAGCUCAAGCCAGAAGGCAGGCAGGCAGGUGGCUAGAUGCUGACCAGAGCUGUUGGACCUUGAACAGCAGACAGGUGCCUCCCUCGUGGCUGGGCUUCUCAGUUAAAACAGUGAAUUGGUUUCUCAGAGGGACAGACUGAACCUGGGUGCAACCCAGCCCCCAUUUCACACCAGGCACACCUGUGGGCAGCUUCUGUUUCCAUAGGGGCCCUAGCAGUUGGCGCCAGUUCCCACCUGCACCAUCCCCAUCCCACUCAGGCUCCGCCAAGGCACAGAGGGCACACACCGCUGUCUCACAGCUAAGACGGGUUAACACACAGACCUGAUGAACCUGCAGACGCCCACCCACCACAGUUAAUGCUCUGCUUGCACACAACUCUCGUGGCUGUGUGUUCUGAGGUGUAGAAAGCACGCCCCUCCGCCUUGCACACCGGGAGCUUACAGUCCAGGCACCUCCACCUGUGUUGGUGUAUAACCAUGUGUACAGUAGUGCUCCAGUCCACAAAGGUUGGCCCUUGGAUUUCAUCUGCACCUGGGCACACCCCACAGCCCACCAGACAACAGGCUCGCAGCAUAAAUGUCUGACAUACUUCCCCUGGUAACACAUAGUCCCUGCUCCUCAGGAUACACAUUCUACGUCGCACGCCCUCCCAGGUACUCUCUGUUCUUAAUUAUCUACCCAAGGGACUUUUGACCCCUGAAAUGUUGGGAAGAGGCCUCUGCUUGGUGUGCCCUGUGUGUCUGGAGUGUGGGAAAAGGUGGUUUGGCAGAUACACGGUCCCAUCCACCUGGCCCAAGAGCACCCUGGUGGAGUCGGGUGGGGGUGGUUCCAGGUGGGUCAUGACAGGCUUCCAGCAGGAGGGUGGGGAAUGUGACUGCUUAGGUGCCACAGCUUCUGGUGUAGGGUAUGUAAAUAUGGGGGUGUGGGGUGUGAUGGGAUGUGGGCCUGUUCCAGAUCCCCUAGAGUUUCUGGGGUAGCCACAGCCAUCCACUCACUUCCUCCUCCAGCUGUGAACUGCUGUGGUUGUCCCUGGGAGGGGGAGAAGCUGGAGGCUUAGUGGUGGCUGGACAACCCCCCCCCCCCCCCAGGAAACUCAAAACCCUGGGCCAGCCGGGUGGCGGGUUGGGGCCCGGCACAAAGAAGGCCUCUGUGCAGCCUGACUGGGCUGCCCACAGGAUUCUGGGGGAGGCAGCAAGAGCCGGUUUCCGUCCCGCUCUGCUUCCUGCGGAGGCCGCCGGAAUGCCGGAGCUCUUGCCCAGCCAGGCCCGGCCGGCCUACCCGUAGCCCCUUCCUACCUGGUCUUUGCCUGGGCUUGGGGUAUAGUUGGAGACUCUCUGGCAGUAGUCUGCUGGAUGUGCCUAGAGCCUGAAAACCACCAGAAAGACUCUUGGGGAAACUGAGCUUUCUCUUCCAAGUCUCCAUGUGCCUUGGAGCCCUCAGCCAAUGUUGGAAAGCCAAGCCCUGGAGUCACCACCAGGUUCAAACCCUGACUCUGCCACCUCCUGACCUUGUGACCCUAGGCUGAUGAUUUCACAUCGUUUAGCUAAAAGCGUGUCGUGAGACUCCAGUAAUAAACUACAAAGGCUGGGUGUGGUGGCUCAUGCCUUUUAUCCCAGUACUUGGGAAGCAGAGGCGGGCAGAUCUCUUUAGCUAGAGGAGAGACCCUGUCUCAGAACAGCAACAGCAAAAACAAAGUACAAGAAAAAUGCUUAGCCCAGUGCCUGACUUGCUGUCAUGUCCCAGAGCUAGAGGGCACCAUGUGUCUCCUUGCCCCCCGUAAGCCAGAUUUGCUUGUGGCUUGCUCAGAACCUUUCCUACCUGCAAGUCCUGUGACUAGCUCUGGCUCCUGUCCAGCCACUAGGUCACUACCCUCCGUGGGGAGCUGGGUGGGGAGUCUUCCGAACUGUCUUCUUCUCCUUCACGCCCAGGAGAAUGGGUCCUGCAGUCUAGAGUGAUGAUCAAGAACCUUCUUCUCCAGGGCUGGAGAGAUGGAUGGCUCAGUGGUUAAGACUGCUAGCUGCUCUUACAGAGGACUGGGGUUUGGAUCCCAGCACCUCCUUGGCAGCUCAGAACAUGUUGUGACUCCUCUUCCAGGGGUUCUGCUGACACCAUCUUCUGGUCUCCUUGGUCACCAGAGAUGUACUUAGUGCAUACAUUUAUAUGUAGCUACUCAUAACAUGCAUACAAAAUAUAAUAAUCUGGGGGGGGGCUUUAAACAAUAUCCCCCCCCCCCCCCGACAGGGUUUCUCUGUGUAGCUUUGGUGCUUUUUCCUGGAACUCACUCUGUAGCCCAGACUGGCCUCGAACUCACAGAGAUCUGCCUGCUUCGGCCUCCCGAGUGCUGGGAUUAAAGGCGUGCGCCACCACCGCCCGGCUAUAUUUCCUAUUUUUACUGAUGCUCGAUGUAGGGGAAGGGCUAUUUCAAAGGUCAUGGUGAGGGAAGACCAAGUCAGAGCCACAACUCAGACUUUUAAGACUCCAGUGCAUACCUUUACCUCUGUUGACACAGUUUGCCCCACUCUAGCUCCUUGACUCUGGUGUCUCUGAGCUAGCUUUCCCAUCCUAUCCUGUGACGAGACCCAUCAGGAUAGAGGGGCUAGGCAGGGAUGUGGGCUACAGUCUCCGGUGGGUGUCUGCUUAAGACAGCAGGCAGCACUCUGGGAAGCAUUUAGUUCAAGACCCAGGGACACCCCAGGGGACAGUAUCAUUUGUCCAUCCUAGCCAGCUGACCAUUUUGCCUGCUCUGAGUAGGGCAAUACAGGACAUCCUCAGAGGGUGUCUAUGAGGAGUAUAUGGGCUAUGCCCCUGUUAGCUGUAUCCACAGGGUCCCAUAUGACAGAAAAGGGCUCAAAGGUCAUGUGCUGAGGUCACAAAAUUAGGAGGGCAUUCCUGGGGCUUUGCUGCCUUUGGGAAAGAACCUAGCUCAGGGGAGGUGUCGGAGAGAGGGAGUCUUUGACAGAGCGGCAGGCCCUGCAUCUCACUGCCUGGAACCCAGGUGAAAGCACGCCUCUGGCCAGGGCCUCAAGUGUGCCAGUCUAAGAAGAUACUCAGGGACAGUUUAGGAAAUUCUGUGGGGAAGAACAGAGGCCCGUGUUGCUUUUUGGUUCAAAGAUUUGUGUAUCUGAAGCAGAAGGUUCAAGUUAGAGAGUGUGGACUCACAAGUAUGACUGCCACAGUCCCAGGGUGGUUUUGUUGUUUGGGGGGGGGACGACAGGGUCUCUCCUUGUAGCCUUGGCUGUCCUGCAGCUCCAUAUAGACCAGGCUGGCCCCAAAUUCCUAGAGAUCCACCUGCCUCUGUCACUCAAGUGCUGGGAUUAAAGGCCUGCACCACCACACCCCCCCGUCCUUUUUUUUGGGGGGGGACUGUCUUGGAGAUCCCCCAGUGGUGUCAAGGGCAUGUCUCACCCCCAGCCAUUGCUAGGUGCUUGGGUGGUUGCAAUGAUUGUACAGGGUCUGUCCCUCCAUAUUGGGGGUGCGCCCUGACCUCAGGCUGUCGCUGCACUUUGUGUGUCUCUUGGGCCCAAGAGGGCUCCCAACCUCUGGAAACUUCCCAGACUGAAUUAUGGGACUCAGAGACAGAACCCCCUCCUUGGUAUCAGUAGGUCAGCUUCGUUCAGUCAUUGGAAUUUGUGGUCUGGGCUCCCUGCCAACAUCGUCUGUCUGUCCAUCUGACCUCCUUAUACUGCUCAUCAGCAUUGCUCCCCUCUGUACCCCAGGUAGGUAGAAGGGGUCCUAAGCCAUUGUGUGGACUCUGUAGAGCUAGCCCAACUGAGCCAUGCUGAAUUCUGCUUGGCCAGAGCCCUGGGGUUAGUGAAGGAGGCCUUCUUCCUUACACAGGCAGGAUAGGUCUAGAAGGUCCUGGAACUCACUUUGUAGACCAGGCUGGCCUCGAACUCACAGAGAUCCUCCUGUCUCUGCUUCCCGAGUGCUGGGAUAUUAAAGGCAUGCGCCGCCACCGCUUGGCUAGAAGGCUCUUAGAGCCAGUAUAGUAGAAGAGGCAUAACACCCUGGGAAACCUGCCCCCAGGCAGGAUGGUGCUUACAUGGUUCUAAAAAUGCACUUUAAGCCGGGCGGUGGUGGCGCACGCCUUUAAUCCCAGCACUCGGGAGGCAGAGCCAGGCGGAUCUCUGUGAGUUCGAGGCCAGCCUGGACUACCAAGUGAGUUCCAGGAAAGGCGCAAAGCUACACAGAGAAAACCCUGUCUCGAAAAACCAAAAAAAAAAAAAGAAAAAAAAAUGCACUUUAAAAAAAAUCAUCGAACCAGUGACAGGAAUGAUGGCUAGCACCUGUCACCCCAGCAACCAGGAGGCUGGGGUUCUGGGAGCCCCUCCUUGGGGGGCGAGGCACGGAAACAAAACAUUGAAUUAUACUGUAAAAGUCCUGCCCUUGACCUCAAGGCUCUGUCCAGCUGGGACCCUGAAAAAGGUCAUAGCCAUACCUGGCAGCUGCUUUCAGCCAGUUCUUCCUAAGGCUUUGAGCUGUGUGUCCUCUGGUAACUGUCUCUGUGCUUAGCUCUUUAGGCGGCAGUCUGUUCCUCCCCACAGCCCUUUAGGUUACCCAGUCUCCUUCCAGGUCACUGUUCAUACUGAAUUCUUUAGCCACCACCUUGGCUCUCGUGGUGUAGGAAGGGUCAGUGUCUGGGUCCUCCUUGCCCCUCCCUCCACGGUAGCACAGGGCACUGGGCCGCGCUAUUGGGAUAAGUAGGAAAGGCGGGGGGGGGAGUGCCAGCAAGCAUUGAGAAUAUCUAGCCGCAGCCCUCCUAGGAACACAGAGCAUCAACCCCUCCCAAGAUGUAAACUCCUCCCCCAUGCAGUCAGGCUCUUCUGGGGCGGAGGGAGGGUGGGGUGAGGCCACCACCUCCGGUGACCUCAUUGGCAGCUGGCAUUAUGAUGUCACUGGCCUAGCAUUCUGAGUUCCUGCAUGUGUAUCUCUUGAGCCUCCAGGUGGGGCACUCCCCCUGGGGGCCUGUGACAGCUCACCCCUGACCACAGAGAGGUGAUAGGCACGGUAACAAUUUGGUGGGAGGGCAGUAGGAUAACUGGGCCACUUUGCCUUGGGCUGUCCUGUUAAUUGCCCAGGUAGAGCAAAGGCGGUCUUGGCCACAGAGCUCUGGGUUCAAGUUCCACCACUGCUAGGCACUAGCUGUUGACAUAAGGCUUACAGCUUGAACUUUGGUGAACCUUGUUCUCUUCAUCUCUGAAACGGGUUAAAAGUUCCUGUCUCUUGGUUACUAUCUUAUUAACAUAUGAAGCAUACAAACACCACAGCGCAGUAGGUGCUUAGUUAAUGUGAGCAGCAAGCAAGAGGUUCUUAGACGUUAGUCGGGGUGCUGGUUGGAAGAGAACAAGGUCCGUGCCUUCAGAGGGUAGAAGUGGGGAGUAGCCCCCACUGCUAGCAAGUGGUCACAUCUCUGGCUUUUCCCCUCUUUCCAACAGCCACGGUCUCAACCUCCGUGGGCUAUGAUGGCCAGGAUCUGGGUCCUCAGUCCUUGGGGCAAGAACUCUAUCCCCAACCCUCCUCCCAUCUGUUCUCCCUGACCUUAGGUUAGACCUAGUCUCAUCAGGUGGCCCUGGUUCUCACUCUUCAGCUCCUCCCUCUGUGGAUGUGUCCAGCUUGGCUCCUUCGUUCCGUCUCUGACCAGGACCACUUCAUCCCGCCAGGUCUUGUCUCUGACCCAUUCCUGAGUUCUGCUGUCAACAUUCUCUGCCCUUAACCACCUGUCUCCCCCUCAGCCCCCAGCUCUUGGGGACUAGUUCAUUCACCCCCUAGGCUCUGUCCCCACCCGUCAGCCCCUGGUCCCAGCUCCAGGCCGCCGGGCUCCUGCCUGGACAAAGGGGUCCUUUGUGGGCUGACCGCGGCUGGCAGGGCGGCGGGGCGCUGGCUCCGCAUUGCUGAUGAAACGGAGCCCUUUGUUGUCCCUCCUCAGACGCAGUAUUUCUUUUUGGGGGCUGGAUGCGUUCCUGGCAGGGCGGAUGAUGGAUGCGCCCGCCGCUGCCGCCUGCCUGCCCGCCAGCUUUCCCUCCCGCUCAUUCCCGCUCCGCUUCAACGCAGCCCCAGCUCUUCCCCUGCUGCUGGGUAUUGCCAGGCCCAUCCUGGCCUGGGAGGGGUUGCUGUGUGCCCUGCUGUAAAAGAGUAAAGACGUUUCCACGUGGACACCUGACCAUGCGCCUGCCCUGACUUGAGGCCCACCAGGCAUCUCUAUUGUGGGCAGCAGGGGCUCCACGCUCAUCUGUGAGGCCCCAGCAGUUUGCAGGCUCUCCCAGCAGUGGGGUCUGGGCCUCGGCCC